rnacentral:misc_RNA from 1 species
CAGAAGAUUUUGACAUAAAAAAUUUGAUUGAGAAAAUUAUUAAAUGUGCCACCAGUGAUGGAGAGAACAGAAGCAAUUUGGAAGUGGAACAAUUGCAAAAAAUCUUGCGAGAAAAAAUUGGUGAUAAAAAAUACUUUCUCAUUUUAGAUGAUGUGUGGAAUGAAGAUUCUAUGAGAUGGGAUCCAUUGCAAGAGCUUUUGUUUACAGGUGCUAAUGGAAGCAAAAUUUUAGUAACUACGCGUAGUAAGAAAGUAGCCUCCAUUAUGAGUACAAUUUCAUCCCCAAUUUUUAACAAGUUNUCAGGUCUUCCGCAUGAUAAGUGUGUGGCUUUGUUUACUAGAUGUGCAUUUAAAGAAGGUGAAGAGAAGCACUAUCCAAACUUGUUAAAAAUUGGGGAUAAAAUUGUAGAAAAAUGCAAAGGGGUUCCAUUAGCAGUGAAGACAUUAGCAUCACUUCUNNNNNNNNNNNNNGACAAAUAAAGAUGAAAGUUAUUGGAAAUUUAUAAGAGAUAGCGAGUUGUGGAAAAUAGAGCAAAAAGAAAAUGAUAAAAUUUUACCUGCUUUGAAAUUAAGUUAUGAACAAUUGCCUGCUUGUUUGAAAAAGUGUUUUGCUUAUUGCUCCUUUUAUCCAAAGGACUAUGAAUACACAAGUUAUGCAUUAAUUCCAUUUUGGAUGGCACAUGG